rnacentral:rRNA from 1 species
CUACGGGAGGCAGCAGUGGGGAAUAUUGGACAAUGGGCGCAAGCCUGAUCCAGCCAUGCCGCGUGGAUGAUGAAGGCCUUAGGGUUGUAAAGUCCUUUGACGGGAGAUAAUGACGUACCCGGAUA